GGAGCAGGGAUUGUGUGUAUCGGCGUUGUGCUCCAAAAAUGCACUCUGAAUCCGAAAGAGUUCCCUGCAAUAUAACAUCUGGGGAAGAUGGGCAGUUGUGUUUCAUUCUUCAUCAUUGAAAAUAUUCAACAAUCAUCUUCCCCACAUUU